AGAAUACCUGCCUGUCACGCAGGGGGUCGCGGGUUCGAGCCCCGUCCGUUCCG
rfam:Gilliamella apicola SCGC AB-598-P17 SCG598P17_12575, whole genome shotgun sequence.